AUGGCUGCGACGGCGGCGGCGGCGGCGGCUGCUGCUGCGGCUCACCUGCUCACCUCCCCACCUGUCGCGUCUCCGCGGCCCGUACCUCGCCGUCACCGCCGCACCGGGGCCGCCAGGCGCCUCUCCUGCCGCGCGUCGCUGGGCCCCGACGCCCCCCUACCCGCGCUCGCCGUCCCCAGGCCGUCGCCCGCUCGGGGGAGGACGUACCUGCGGGAGCACUCCUGCCUCCUCUUCCCACCCCCGCGCGGCGCCCGCCCGCUCGCCGUCGUCAAGUUCCUCGGCGGCGCCUUCAUCGGCGCCGCCCCCGAGGCCACCUACGGCUACCUGCUGGAGCUCCUGGCGCAGGAGGGGUUCCUCGUGGUGUGCGUCCCGUACAACGUCACCUUCGACCACGCGGCCGCCGCGCGGGAGGUCUUCGAGAGGUUCCACGGCUGCUACGACGCGCUCCGAGCGUCGGGCCUGCCGGAGGCCGGGCUAGGCGCUCUGGACAUCGCGCGCCUCCCGCUCUACUCCGUUGGUCACAGUAACGGCGCGCUGCUUCAGCUGCUGGUUGGGAGCUACUUCUCAGAAAAGAUACCAAAGGCUAAUGCGAUUGUCUCAUUCAACAAUAGGCCCGCUUCAGAGGCUGUUCCUUACUUUGAGCAGAUAGGCCCCCUCAUUAGUCAACUAACACCUAUGAUGGAGACAUCACCUGUAUACUCUGCGGCAAGAGAUGCAUCAGGGAAUGCGUGGAAGGCCCUAUUUGAUUUAGCUGGAGGUUUGAUACGGGAGUACGAUCGAGAAGCUAUGGUAUCCGUAAGCAAAUUUGUCGAUCAGUUACCAUCAGUAAUGAAUCAGGUUACAGAAGGUGUAUCUGAAUUCAAACCAACACCACCUGAGAACCGUGAAUUCUGCAAGAAUUCUUACAGUGUAGCUAAUACAUUAUUGGUCAAAUUCAGCGUUGAUGCUAUUGAUGAUACAGACAUAAUUGAGGACAUCUUGAGACCUCGGGUAGACUCAAUUGGUGGACAAAUAAAGAAGGUCGUACUGUCAGGAACACAUCUAACUCCGUGUAUACAGGAUGUUAAAUGGCAGGUUGGUUCAGAAUACACUCCAGCGGAUGCUCUGGCGCAGGGCUUAAAAUCAUUGGCUCUCAAUGAGACCAGGGUCCUCUCAAGAACUAUCGCUGACUACUUCAGAUCCCUUUAGAAGCCUAGAUUAUAAUUUAUUCUAUGUCCAUUGAAGUUCAGAAUGCUGCUUAUGAAGUUGGCUGGGGUGUGGGGGGGUUGCCAUUACAAGGACACACCGGAGUAAAUAUUAUAGCACCUAGGACUCGAAGAGCGAUGUAUGUGGACCGAGUUGAGUACGUUGGCACCGGCAGGCCGUACAUCUACUAUAUGAUCUGAUCAAGAUUUGGAGGUUGGGACCAAGUUGUUGGACUCUAGUCAGGCUAUGCACUGCAUUUAACCCGAAAUCCAAGAGAACAACGAUCCAUUCUCAGUUUGGAUGAAGACAUUUGGCAAGUAAGGAUCCAUUUUGAUGCAAGAGAACCAUUGGAGAUGAAGCUUUGUAGUUCAGAUAUUACUUAUCUGAAUUUGGUUGCAGUGAUGAAAACCUAAGGAUUUAAUGCAUAUGAUUGUUUGUUUCACAUUGAAAAUCCAUCUUUAGGAGAGAAAG
rnacentral:rRNA from 1 species